GGAUGUGAAGGUGAUCUGGAUGCGACACCAUUGAUUGCCAGGAUUGAUUGAGCUGAUCGGAAUGGCUAGGCCGUUGUCCCCUUCCUCCCUUACCACUGCGUGUGUCUACCUUCCAAGGCUUCAUGCUGGGCUGAAGAGGAUGACUUUUCGUGAAUAGAGGGAGGACCAGGCUUUGGGCAAGGGAAUAUGGAUAGCUUCACUCCCCCACUAGAACCUCCAAAGAAGCUCUCAGAUAAGGGCAGCUUAUGUGUUAAUCAACUAGGUAUUGAUUGCUUACCCAGUCUACGUGUGACUUGGAAAGCUUG
rnacentral:snRNA from 1 species